CCUCAGUCACUUGCAUUACCAAAGGGCAAUCUGCCAGAGCACAAUAAUGGAUGAGAAACACACAGGAGGAUCUGAGCACUGAGGGCUGAACAGUAGAGGGCUUUCAAUCUGGCUGGCGUCCUGGGGGAAUUCACAGGGGUCAUUGCUCAAUCCCUGGGGGACAUUAAUGCAAAUCACAAAGGAGCACAGAAGUCAUUUUAGUUUUCCACUUUCCUUUGGCCACUGCCCAAUGCUAAAUGGCAAAGGACUGGCUUGCAAUACUCGGCAGAGCAUCCCCCUUUCCUUCUUCGGUCUCUAACCUUUUAAACCGGAUUUAAUCAAAUCAAAAUACCACAGUCCAGAGCCAUUUGAGACAACCUGAAGACAAACAGUUGAGGAACCAGAAUGCCUUGGGGUGAACCAAGGGCGAGCCCAUCCAUUACUUCCUGUGCAACCAAGAGCAAAGGGACACGGAAAAUGCCUGCGGUACACGAUGAUGAACUGACUCCACAUCAGAGAUUGGAUUAGAGUGGCAAGAGAGAGAGCCCUAAAAGCCAUGCACAGUUUAUUGAAGCCUUAUCUAAAGCGAUAAUGUUACUAGAGAAAGGCCUGUGUAAUGACGGAUGAGUGGACGGUGCAUCAGGCGAGAUGGUGGAUAGGCAGGUCCACCAUGGUCAACUCAUCUUCUUUUAAAAGCAGGAAGUAGGACCAGUAGAUGGUUACGAUAGAAUGGACUGUCAAUUGCUAGCAACCUGGUUACCCGGCAGUGUCAUCUUCACAGGUGUAUCAAGUUUAGAGAGGCUCAGUGCUCAGGUUCACUGCAAUUUAGGUCCCAUUUCAUCACUGAUACCCAUAAGGCAUUUUGGGGAAAAUGGUAGCAGUGUUACUACUGAGAUUUGUAGUCUCCCUGAAAGCACUGAUCUCUGCAGUGGUUGGGUUUGUGAUAUAUGAAAUAUAUGUCUGACCAUGCACUGUUUAUAUAUAACAUAAGUUUUCUUAGGGGAAUGUGGAGUGUGAUGGUCACUACUGAUGCACAGAAAAUAGAGUGAGAAGUAAGAUGAAAAUAGAAAUUACAUCUAAAGGGUUUUGUUGAGUGGUUAGAGGGAAAGCAAAGUAUAGCAUUUGGAUAAAAGUCUUGUUCUCAUUUUUUUUGGAUGACUAGAGGAUUUUUCCCCCGCUGAAAGACAAUGUUAUCUUAUAGUAGACGGAUGAUGGUAAUGACAACACAAUCCCUUCCAUGGUAAACACAUAUUUCUAGCGCUUGGGAACAAAAGUGAGUGGAGAAGAAAGUACAACAA